CAUCCUGUCACCGGAAAAGCGAGCAAAAUCGGGGCACCCAGAAUCACUGCCCUUUUCCUCGAGAGCCGUCAAACAAGAAACAACAAAACCGAGCCAUGCAUGCCUGACGAGAGAACGAAUACGUUCGACACGUGUAUCCACGUAGCAGAUCCCACGCCCAAACCGCACGACAACUCGGCGCGCGCAACGAAGAGUUGACAGUGGCAUGCUACGAUUUGACCAAGCAAACACAUGCGUCUGCAUCAUGCAUCAAUCAGCACAGCCGGGCAUAAAUUUCGAUCGAAGCCAUAGCAAGGACGAACACGCGCGGCCGGCGAUCUCAACGCUGAUCGGCCCCGAUCGCUUGCCCGUACAACGUCACGUACACGUACAUCAGAGAUAGGAAGAGGAUCAUCGCGAGAGGAGCGGCCAGGCUGCAGACGCCCUCGCGCCGGUCCUGCAGCGUCCGCGCCUCGAUCAGGUUGAGCUGCAGGGUGAGCAGGUCCAGGCCCAGCGAGCACUGGCGCACGCCCGCCUUGAUCUCGCGCAGCUCCCGGCGGAGCCUCUCCGCUCCUCCCUUCCUCGCCAUCCUCCCGCCUCCCGGCGCGGGGACGCCCAUGACGACGCCUGACGACGCGGACUGCUCCAUGGGUUGCGGAAAAUGAGUAU
rnacentral:lncRNA from 1 species